rnacentral:misc_RNA from 1 species
AAUCAGAGAGUUUAUAUGAUGGUGAAAACACUGAUAAUUCUAAUGAAGAGGAAUCCCAAUGUCGUAACAGUGGUCGUGCCAACAUAUCCGAUGAUGGUCAUCAGAUCUCAACAAAAGUAACAAGAGGAAAUAAAAGAAUUGUGGCACCUGCACAUGAGCGAACAAUUAGAGUCACUAGGCAAAGAAUUGCUGAAAUAAACCAAGAAAAUAGCCACAACCCGUCUGUUCAUAAACAACUCAGUUCAUGUCCUGCUACAAACCAUGAUUCGAUCGAAACUCUUGUUGUUCCUACACAACCUAGUGCAA